UAAAUGUGCAAAAAACAGCCCGACUAAACCGUAACCUGAGUGCGUGUAUUAACACACCUCAGAUGGGGCGCAUCACAAAAGAGAGGAGGAAGGGGACACGGAUCUAGCUCUGAGUUCACCGUUUUCCAGCAACUUCGCCGGCUCCGGCCUCCCACUGGGCUUGCCAGCAGCGAGGAGACGCACCCGCAGGCGAACUCACAGGCGCCGAAGAAAACAGGCUGAGUGGGGCUGGGAAAAGAGCGCAGUUGCCGAGAGGAAGGGGCCUGGAUGUCACCAUGCCGCCUCCCCGGGGACCUCGGAACUUGGUGCGGCCACACCACCGGCGGGACAAGACUCGAUCCCGCCCAGGAAAGGGAGCAGCUUUCUCUCCGGCCCACCCCAAGGGAAAAUAAACGGCCUCUGGCGCUUUGCUGCAUUCCUGAUUUUUAACAAAACUAUUGUUGGAGGUUGGCCCCCGUGCUUGCUCCUCGGCGGGAGCAAACCUGCCCACUCCCCGGCCCGCGGCGGAGCCAGCGCCGCCCAGCCGGCAGGCCGGGAACAAUGCCUCUUUGUAGCGGGCCCUCGAGGCAGCUGCGGCCCGCCACGCCCAGGGCCCUCCCCUUAGAGAAUUCCGAAAGCAGUCUCAAGCCCUGCUCUUCCUCGAGGUCUCGACCUGGGAAGAAAGCAAAGCAUCCUUCCUAAUCCUUCCGAGGGGGUGAGAGAGAAGGGAACUAACUUUUCCUGCGCCCCGUGUGUGCCAGCCCUUGAAUCCUCCCUGGCAGCCUUGUCCAGAGGAAUUAUAACCCGCCUUUAGUUUAUGUGCCUUGUGCCAGGUCCCACAAUGGUAAAUGGCAGAGGGGAUCUCAAACUCAGCGCUAAAAGAAAUUAUAUAUACAUAUUUUUUUUCUUUUCACCACCCAGGGUUGAGGAUUAAAGCCAUUUUGACAUUG